AGUGAACGCUGGCGGUAGGCCUAACACAUGCAAGUCGAACGGCAGCACAGUAAGAGCUUGCUCUUACGGGUGGCGAGUGGCGGACGGGUGAGGAAUACAUCGGAAUCUACUUUUUCGUGGGGGAUAACGUAGGGAAACUUACGCUAAUACCGCAUACGACCUACGGGUGAAAGCAGGGGAUCUUCGGACCUUGCGCGAUUGAAUGAGGCGAUGUCGGAUUAGCUAGUUGGCGGGGUAAAGGCCCACCAAGGCGACGAUCCGUAGCUGGUCUGAGAGGAUGAUCAGCCACACUGGAACUGAGACACGGUCCAGACUCCUACGGGAGGCAGCAGUGGGGAAUAUUGGACAAUGGGCGCAAGCCUGAUCCAGCCAUACCGCGUGGGUGAAGAAGGCCUUCGGGUUGUAAAGCCCUUUUGUUGGGAAAGAAAAGCAGCAGGUUAAAACCCCGCUGUUCUGACGGUACCCAAAGAAUAAGCACCGGCUAACUUCGUG
rnacentral:rRNA from 1 species